rnacentral:rRNA from 1 species
UACAGAGGCCUCAAGCGUUGUUCGGAUUCAUUGGGCGUAAAGGGUGCGUAGGUGGCGCCGUAAGUCAGGUGUGAAAUUUCGGAGCUUAACUCCGAAACUGCAUUUGAUACUGCGGUGCUUGAGGACUGGAGAGGAGACUGGAAUUUACGGUGUAGCAGUGAAAUGCGUAGAUAUCGUAAGGAAGACCAGUGGCGAAGGCGGGUCUCUGGACAGUUCCUGACGCUGAGGCACGAAGGUCAGGGGAGCAAACGGG